GAAAUGCGAUACGCAAUGCGAAUUGCAGAAUUCCGCGAGUCAUCAGAUCUUUGAACGCAUACUGCGCCGAAGGGAUUUAUCUUUUCGGCAUGUUUGUUUCAGUGUGUUUGUUUACCUCACACAACUUAAUGCGAUUGAACAUUUGUUCUCUCGUUAAACACGAAUACGCUUGGGAACUCCAAGCUAAUGUCGCGGUCACUUUUAAGUGAUAAGGACAUUGGCAAAAAACUGGACUCCCUUUUAUGGCGUACAAACACUCUUCAAUCUGCACCUGAAAUCAAGCAAGAACACCCGCUGAACUUAA
rnacentral:misc_RNA from 1 species